rnacentral:lncRNA from 1 species
GGCGCUGUCGUCGGCGCCGACGGCGGUGAAGGCGGCGGCGAACUGCUACUGCCAGCUCCUCGCGUCCCAGAGCGACAACAACGUCAAGCUGAUCGUCCUCGAUAGGCUCGCGGAGCUGAAGAACGACCACAGGCACGUCAUGCAGGAGCUCGUGAUGGAUAUUCUGCGCGCGGUGUCCACGCCGGAUCUGGACAUUCGAAAGAAGACGUUGGACCUCGUGCUCGACUUGGUGUCGAACCGAAACAUCGACGAGGUCGUCCUGACGCUCAAGAAGGAGAUCACGAAGUCGCAGGGCGACGCCGGGGAGAAGAGCGGCGAGUACAGGCAGAUGCUCGUGCAGGCGACGCACGCGUGCGCGGUCAAGUUCCCGGCGGUGGCGGGGUCCGUGGUGCACCUGUUGAUGGAUUUUUUAGGCGACGUCAACUCCGCCGCGGCGUUCGACGUCGCGAUGUUCGUCCGCGAGAUUGCCCAGACGAACGACGCGCUGCGGGACUCGAUCCUCCAGAGGCUCCUGGACUCGUUCUACACGAUUCGCUCGUCGCGCGUGUGCGGGACGUGCCUGUGGAUCAUCGGCGAAUACUCGCAGAGCGCGACGCAAGUCGAGGAGGCGUUCGCGUGCGCCAAGGCGUCGCUCGGCGCGACGCCCUUCUUCGAGCCGCCGCACGCCAAGGCGAAGCGAGAGCGCGUGCACGACGACGGGUCGGACCGCGACGACGACGACGGCAGCUCGCGCAGGGGCAGCCUGGAGAGUCCCGGGGGGGGUAAUUCGAAGAUCGCGGCGGUCACCGCGGGGGUGAAGAACGUCGUCUUGGCGGACGGCACGUACGCGACGCAGACGGUCGUGGCGGACCAUCCGUCUGCCGCGGUCGGUAACGCCGUCGGCGCGGUCGCGCCGAACCUCCGUUCGCUUCUGCUCGCGGGCGAUUUCUUCCUCGGGAGCGUCGUCUCCACGACGCUCACGAAGCUCGCGCUGAGGUACGUAGAGACGGCGCCGGCUGCGGGGAUCGAACCGGAGGCGAUCAACAAGCUUCACGCGGAGUGCAUGCUGUACAUCGUGUGCAUGCUGCGGCUCGGGAAGGAGGGCGGCCUACCGACGACGAUCGACGACGACUCCUACGACCGCAUGAUGCUGUGCGUGAAGACGCUCGCGGAGCCGGAGACGCAGGACCGCGACGUGUGGCUGCGGUCGUGCAAAGCCGCGUACGAGGGUCUCAUCGUCGAUCGCAAGCGGCAGGCGGAGGCGCUGGACGGGGAUAAGCUCGGCGAGAAGAUCGACGCGCAGGCGGACGACCUCAUCGACUUCACGCAUCUGAAGUCGCGAAAGGGUUUGUCGCAGGUGGAGAUCGAGGACGCGGUGGCGACGGAUCUCAAGCGCGCGACCGGGUUUCGAACGGAUUCGGACGCGCCCGAGGAGAAGAAGCUCAACCGCGUCGUGCAGCUCACCGGGUUCAGCGAUCCCGUCUACGCCGAGGCGUACGUCACCGUGCAUCAGUACGACAUCGUCAUGGACGUCACGGUCGUGAACCGCACGCAGGAGACGUUGCAGAACGUGUGCUUAGAGCUCGCGACGAUGGGGGACUUGAAGCUCGUGGAGCGGCCGCAGAAUCACACGCUGGCGGUGGGCGAGACGAAACAGAUUCGCGCCAACAUCAAGGUGUCUUCCACGGAGACGGGCGUCAUCUUCGGGAACGUCGUGUACGAGAGCGCCAAGUCCGACCGCGAGGUUGUCGUCCUGAACGACGUGCACAUCGACAUCAUGGACUACAUCUCCCCGGCGUCGUGCGGGGACACGGAGUUCAGGUCGAUGUGGGCGGAGUUUGAGUGGGAGAAUAAAGUCGCGGUGAACAC